CCACAUGUGAGUCGUGGUUGAAAGGGACAGAGAGGAGAAAUAUCAUUGUUUGAAUCUGCAUCCAUCCUUCUUUGCUAUGUUGUUGAAAGCAUUGCUUUUUUACUCUGUUGACUUGUGGAUGUAAACAUCUUAUUAAAGAAGAUAAACGCUUGCCACUUGUCGAGGAGUUAUCUGUCUGCAUAUCUGUACUCAUAACGACAGUGAGGGCAGAACAGUAAAAAAACAGAUUCAUCUACAUCAUCAAAGUAUCAGGUGGAUACACACGUCAGUCUUCCCUAAGAAACUAAACAUGUCUCAGCCAGGAGAUAAUGAAUCAGUCCACACUCACGCAUCAAAAUCAUCAAAGGGCUCCAGUAAGUCAUCUGCCAGCUUGGCAGCGGUCAAUGCACGGGCUAGAGCGGAGGCAGCACGAGCCAGAGCGGCCUAUGCUCAAAAGGAAAUCGAAUUGAGAGUAAAACAAGCAGAACACAGAGUGGAAGAAACACGUCUGGAGGCUACAUUGGAAGCGCUUCAUCAGGAACGCGAUGCAGAGGCAGCUCUCGCUGAAGCUAAUGUGUACGAGGCUGCGGCAAGCGAAAUAGAAGAAGACCGCAUAAGCGUUCGCUUCCCACAGACAUUUCACCCAUUAGAACGCACAAGCGAGUAUGUGAAUGACCAAUUUCUCCAAAAUGAGAAAUCAACUCCACAUGCAGCCCUGAAGCCUAACGAGGCUCCAACGGACUCCACAUUUAACCAACUCAAGCAGGAAGUUGAAAUGCCUGACCCGAGAUCUCCAUACACGUUGAUGCCUGGCAAGAACAACACAAACGACAGAGCAUCCCAGCUACCUAAGUGCAUGAACAACCACAAUGGUCAAGUCCUCUGAUUCACCCACAAUAAACCUCAAGUAUUUCUGACCUUCCCAGAUUUCUAGCUAGACGUGAGUUGCUCACUGGAGGUCUUACAAGGUUUAGCGACAAGCCAGGUGACUACUGGGCAUGGAAAUCCUCAUUUGAAAAUGCCAUCCAAGGUCUACAUCUAACAGCUAGUGAAGAGCUUGACUUGUUGACUAAGUGGUUAGGCGAGAAAUCCUCACAACAUGCAAAACGCCUCAGAGCAGUGCAUAUUAACUACCCUUCCCUCGGUCUGAACAACGUGUGGGAGAGACUUCAAGAGUGUUAUGGAUCUCCUGAGGCCUUAGAAAAGGCUAUGUUUGAUAGGCUAGAACAGUUCUCCAGAAUUACCAACAAGGAGCCUCAUCUGCUGCGGGACCUUGGUGACCUUGUAAAGGAAUAUUUUGGUCUUGUUAAAGUAUAUAGAGUUUAGUGAACUGUCCUCGGGAAUCUGUUUAAUGGUUAAAGUGUAUUCCUGCCUGUAAUGUGAUCCAUAGCUUCUCAGGAAGACACAGGUCAAGAGGUCAUCUGAUGUCUUGUGGGGGAGAAGCUUGGCCCAUGUGGGGUUACAAUGCAACGAGUCUUUGUCUCGACAUCUGGCAUGCAUUAAAGGAAAACCCGCGUGUUUUAGGGCCCUCCUCUUCUUGUCUGUAUAGUUGGGUUCUUGGCGUUUUUAGGCUUCAGAGUUUGCUGGUAUCUUACAGGAGAACUGUGAUAUGCUGUGAACUCUCCGGCCGCUGAGGCUCUCAAUAAAUAUCAGUGUAUUGACAGG